UACGGGGGGGGCAAGCGUUAUUCGGAUUUACUGGGCGUAAAGCGCGCGCAGGCGGUUUGUUAAGUGAGAAGUGAAAGCCCUGGGCUUAACCCAGGAACUGCUUCUCAUACUGGCAGACUAGAGUGUGGGAGAGGAGGUUGGAAUUCCCGGUGUAGCGGUGAAAUGCGUAGAGAUCGGGAGGAACACCAGUGGCGAAGGCGGAUCUCUGGACCACUACUGACGCUGAGGCGCGAAAGCGUGGGGAGCAAACAGG
rnacentral:rRNA from 1 species